rnacentral:lncRNA from 1 species
GGAUAUAUGUUGCUUGAUUAUAGGGAUAGGAGGUGGAUAGUUGUGUUGGUUUAAAUUUUAAGUUUUAAUUUAUUUAAAAAAAAAACAAAACUACUUCCCUGAAACCCACGUUUCCACUUUCUUUCUUUUCUUGUUUUUUUUUUUCAUUUUCUCUCUUCUUGCGCCACUAUCAUUUUGAAAGUGGGUAAUUUUUAAUAUUUCUUUUUUCUAUCUUAUUAACAUUUGAUUACUUGC